rnacentral:piRNA from 1 species
UGUAAGAAACAUUGUAUAAAA